rfam:Listeria monocytogenes EGD-e, complete genome
GUGAAUGUAAGCAGAGAGACUGCGAAAAGCAGCGCCGACGGGGAAAGCAUAUAUUAUGUGAAACUCUCAGGCAAAAGGAUGUUUACGGGACG